rnacentral:lncRNA from 1 species
UUUGUCAUGAGGGUCUGGAUGGGGGGGGGUCUGUUAUUCUGUAAACAUUUAAUUUUCACCCCUAUUUUCUCUAAUCUUCAAAAAAUAAACCCCUAUUUUCUCUAAUCUUCAAAAAAUUAACCCCUUUUUUCUCUAAUCUUCUAUUUUUUUGCCCAUUAUUCUCUAAUCUUAAUUUUUUAAGGGCAUUAUUCUUUAAUCAUUUAACGCCAUCCAAACCCUCU